UAUUAGGAAAUAGAAGAAAUAGAAUUAAAGAAAAUUGACAGACCACUAAACCAAGGCAUGAGUUUAUAAAUUCAUGAACAUACAUCUCUAAUAAAAUAAAAUGUAAGAAAAUUUACGUGUAAAUAUUGUUGGGCCUAUAAACUAUUUUUUGUCAGCCCAUAUCUUUUCUUAAGAUUUUUGCUAAUGAUUAAAUUUGGGCCUUGUAGCCCAAUAACCCUCACAGAUAAGCUCCAGCUAUCCCUCUAUAAUCUCUCCACGUCUUCUUCAGCAAUCUUCCACGUGUUCCUCUCUCUUUCACGCAUCAUCCUACAAGAAAUAGAAAACAUAAUUUACUACACAUACCCAUCGAGUAAGAAUACAGAGAGUUUAGUGAGAAUUUAGAGGUAUCAAUCCUGUGUCAAACGCAAACACACAAUCUCAGGUUAUCUCCGCAAGUAGGGUCGGAGCGAGAAAUUAAACGAACAAGCCUAUCUGUUUGGUUGGAACGUAAGAAUCGAAUUCGGGUCCGAGUGAGGGUGGUGUCCCUACUCGGAUUAGUGUACACAGGUGACCAUUGGAAGGUGGCCACCUUCCACGGCACAAAGAUGAUAUAGUGGAGGCCGUUGGGAGGUGGCCACCUCCCCGGCUGGAGAAAGAUGUAGGUGACCGUGGGAGAGCACCAUCUCCACGGCACUUGGUGUUCAGAUAUGGCAGAAGUACUUAAAGAACUUAGACUGAUCAGUCGAACUUUAGCUCACAAAGAAUUUAGUAAGCUCGGGCCUUUUAAGAGUUGAGCAGUGACGGUGGAGAAUGCUGAGCAGAGUUAUGAGUUUCCUUUUAUUUUAAGUAGUGGCUCUCGGCGGUGCAUGUCUCCAUACAUGUGACCGUGUUCAUUCCGCUGUAUAGCAUCAACUGUUCUUCCAUACUCUGAUAAAUAUCUAUUGAUGAAUAAGAUUUUACAUUUUGAUAA